rnacentral:lncRNA from 1 species
GCUUGCUCAACAAGCUUAUGGCCCAAUCACAAUCAUCUUCUGUGAACUUUGUCGGUAAUAUACAAAAUUAUGAAGAGUUAUCGGGACCUACGAUCGGGGAAGAUGAUUGGGACGGGAACUGAACAUGAGGGACUCUACCGCCUUGAUCUUCCAGGGAAAGCAACGUGCAAUACCGUCCAUCUUGAAUCCAAUAGCUUGUGGCAUCAGCGUCUCGGUC